CCUACGGGAGGCAGCAGUGAGGAAUAUUGGUCAAUGGGCUUACGCCUGAACCAGCCAAGUCGCGUGAGGGAAGACUGCCCUAUGGGUUGUAAACCUCUUUUGUCAGGGAGCAAUUGGCGCUACGUGUAGCGUUAUCGAGAGUACCUGAAGAAAAAGCAUCGGCUAACUCCGUGCCAGCAGCCGCGGUAAUACGGAGGAUGCGAGCGUUAUCCGGAUUUAUUGGGUUUAAAGGGUGCGUAGGCGGGCAUUUAAGCCGGCGGUCAAAUGUCGGGGCUCAACCCCGGCCUGCCGUCGGAACUGGGUGCCUUGAGUGGGCGAGAAGUAUGCGGAAUGCGUGGUGUAGCGGUGAAAUGCAUAGAUAUCACGCAGAACCCCGAUUGCGAAGGCAGCAUACCGGCGCCCUACUGACGCUGAGGCACGAAAGUGCGGGUAUCGAACAGGAUUAGAUACCCCAGUAGUC
rnacentral:rRNA from 1 species